rnacentral:tRNA from 2 species
UGGGCUAUCGCCAAGUGGUAAGGCAACGGACUUUGACUCCGUCAUUCCGAUGGUUCGAAUCCAUCUAGCCCAACCA